rnacentral:rRNA from 1 species
GUUUAAGCAGCCGCGGUAAUACGGGGGGAGCAAGCGUUGUUCGGAUUUACUGGGCGUAAAGGGCGCGUAGGCGGCGCGACAAGUCACUUGUGAAAUCUCCGGGCUCAACUCGGAACGGCCAAGUGAUACUGUCGUGCUAGAGUGCGGAAGGGGCAACUGGAAUUCUCGGUGUAGCGGUGAAAUGCGUAGAUAUCGAGAGGAACACCUGCGGCGAAGGCGGGUUGCUGGGCCGACACUGACGCUGAGGCGCGAAAGCUAGGGGAGCGAACGGGAUUAGAUACCCCUGUAGUCC